AUUUUAAUUCUCAAAACAUUUCUCUUAGUUUUAAAAUUACUAAAGUUGGUACUGUUUGGAUAUAAACUUUGGAUGUUGUAUCAUAUAAAUCUAAAUAAUUUUUAAAUGAAGUUCUUUUAGUCCUAGUAAAAAUCCCCUAAGGUAGAUUGGGAUCAAGUUAUUACUUAAAAUGUCGAAAUAUCUGUUUUGAUAAAGUAUUGAUUUUUCAAGUGGUAUUUUUUGUUUGUUUAUUUAUUAUAUAGCUACCAAAGAGAUGAUAGUGAAAUUGGAUACAUUUUCAGUAACUCAGUGUGUCCAUCAAGGGGCCUCUAAGCCAGUUCAUAUGUAGCCUUAAUUAGCAGUUCUUUUUACAGGUCUUCAUAAAAUUAAUCCAGUAAACCAAGUAUGCAUUGUUAGCUUUACAUACUUUGAAUUUAUACUCCAGUCAAGAGGAAUCACCUAAAUAUAUCAUUUUGAGUUCAUGUCACUCAGACAUUAACUACAGUUUCCUAUUAUGCAGUUUUUUGCAAUCGGUGAUGUAUCAUUCCCUAAAUCCCAUGUUUUGUUUGUACAUUAAUCAGAAUUGGGUUGUAAUAUUGUUAUGUGCCUUUAUCCAAGCAAAAUUUUACAAAAGCCUUUAUAGCAGGGG
rnacentral:lncRNA from 1 species